GCUGAUUACAAGCCGGCCAUGUUUGACAAACAGCCCUGCAUGGCCUGCUGCACGGUAGAGUCAAAUCAAACAUCCAGACACAUUUGCAUGUCUAGGAUGGCAGAGAUGGUUAGGAGGAGGGUGAUAGUGAUGAGGAUAAGGAAGAAGAGAAAUUUGCUCUCCCACAUGCCUCUGCAUUAAUAACACAUCACGCUGCACACUCGUGUCCGUCCCUGUAACGUGACAUCCUGAACUCUUCGGUCUCAUCAAAUCCACUUGAGGCUCAGCAGGCCUGACACUCUGCUUUGUGUGUGUGUGUGUGUGUGUGUGUGUGUGUGUGUGUGUGUGUGUGUGUGUGUGUUUGCGUGUAAGGUGGAGGACACAUCGGCCACAAGAGGGCAGCAGAGUACUUCUAUGAUUACACAAGUGUCCUGGUUUGAGAAAGUGUGCUCCCUGGUGGGUAGACUAUCUCUUCCCAGAGGAACAGCUCCAGCCGGUCGGGAUAUUCCCAGCUCAUACACUGCAUCAGUGACACAUCAAACUGUACAUUUGUCACAAUGGUAGAGUUACCAGUGGUCAAAGUCAAGUGGAAACCUGGUAUAUCUAAAAUAUAAUCCUUAAACUAAAGUUCAAGUUGAAAGUUCAACUAAUGUUAAAACCUAAUGUUUUUGCUUUACACAGAUCAGGUCUAGUGACCAUGAUUGUUUUUAGUCAUGAGGCAAUUAUGGCUCCUUACUUUGAAAUGACUAGCAAUACACCCUCUUCCAUCUAGAUUAUGACAUGUCUUACAUGUAAAUGCUACUACCCACACAAAUAUAUGUGUUUACAUAUCCUUGACUACAGUGACAUGCACAGACAAGGCCCAAUUAUUUGGCUACCUUCAUGUCCUCAUAAUCUCUUCGCUUGCAUAUUGGACAUAUUUUUGCACUGCGACGCUACCAGAAUGCUUUGCAUGGCUGAACAAAUCUCCACAAUCUCUCCAUAUGUCAGCCUUUCAGGACUUAAGAAAAACAAGUUUGGUUGUAGCUCAACCACCACACAGUUAUCAGCUUAACAACUGGGAUUUUUAAGUGAAAAAUGGCAAUUUGCUUUUUAUUCAUUUACUUUAACAAUUGUUUAACCAGGCAAGUCACCAAGAACAAAUUCCUAUUUACCUUUGCCAUAUCCUAUUAAUGUGUCCUGCUGCAGCAAUUCCAGUAUGAUGAAUAUGACGGCCAUUACAGUUUCAUAAGAAAUAACAACCAAACAGCAAACAGGCACAGUGGCAUUUUUUAAAAAUGUAUGUAUUUAUUUUCCAUUGCCAUUGUAAAUGCACUUAAAUCAGACAAGCACAAGCUAUGGUCAUCUGGCCCCACCCUUGGGUGCAGUUGAACUCCUCACUGUUACGCAGACUGCUGGCCCAGGGCAAGUACCUUGUUCAUUUGCAUGCCGAGUUUCAUUAGAAACGCACUGAACUC